AUGGAGGCAGCCAUGGAAGGCAAGCGGCGACGCCUCCCUGAUGCGGGGGUGGGGCAUGCCGUGUCGCCGCCCAGCAAGCGCCGCUGCGACGGUGGUGACCAGGACUCCCGCGCAAGCAAGAAGCGGGCGGACGGGCGUGCCUCUUCCGCCGCUUCUGCCGUCGCGCAACUUUCUUGCGCCAGGAUCAGGCAGUAUGUGCGUGAGUCGCGCCCCAAGGAGGAGAAGACCGAAGUCAGCGCCGGCGACAAGUUCCAGGUCGUGAUUAAGAAGCAGAACGCCGACAAGCGAAUCUCUUGCAUCGGACGGAACGGGGCGUCGAGCCAGGUCAGAGCCCGCGCUGUCGCAGACAACGUGACGCAGAAGGCCGGCCAGGGAGCUUCAUGCACCAGGAGCAGACCGGCGGUGCAGGCGUCGCGCCUAAACGGAGAGAUCGAGUUCAUCAGCAGCGGCGUCAGUGUUCUCUGCAACGGCGCGCACGGCGUCGCCAAGAACGAGAAGCAGCAGGAGUCCGGCGAGCGGGUCCAAGCGAUCGCAACGGCCAGCAUCCCGCAGCUAGCUCGCCAGGCGCCGCCGUCGUCGAUACCAAAGGAUCCCAUUGACCCGGACAAUGAGUUCCGCGCGGCCCUUGCGGCUGCUCGCCGAGCCAUAGUCAGACGGCGGCGGGAGGAGGCUCGCCGAGAGAGGGACAAGGUGGUGCAGACCGUCUACUUCAACGACCCUAACAUGACUCUCGAGAACCUGCUGAAGGCCCAAGCCCUGAUCGGUUCAUGCUGA
rnacentral:rRNA from 1 species